AUUGAACGCUGGCGGCAGGCCUAACACAUGCAAGUCGAGCGGAUGAGAAGAGCUUGCUCUUCGAUUCAGCGGCGGACGGGUGAGUAAUGCCUAGGAAUCUGCCUGGUAGUGGGGGACAACGUUUCGAAAGGAACACUAAUACCGCAUACGUCCUACGAGAGAAAGCAGGGGACCUUCGGGCCUUGCGCUAUCAGAUGAGCCUAGGUCGGAUUAGCUAGUUGGUGAGGUAAUGGCUCACCAAGGCGACGAUCCGUAACUGGUCUGAGAGGAUGAUCAGUCACACUGGAACUGAGACACGGUCCAGACUCCUACGGGAGGCAGCAGUGGGGAAUAUUGGACAAUGGGCGAAAGCCUGAUCCAGCCAUGCCGCGUGUGUGAAGAAGGUCUUCGGAUUGUAAAGCACUUUAAGUUGGGAGGAAGGGCAGUAAGUUAAUACCUUGCUGUUUUGAUGUUACCGACAGAAUAAGCACCGGCUAACUCUGUGCCAGCCGCCGCGGUAAAAC
rnacentral:rRNA from 1 species